rnacentral:misc_RNA from 1 species
GGGGAAGCUUGUGUCAGUUUCAUAAUACAAACAUCACAAAAAUCAACGUGCUCUAACUAAAAGUAGAAUUUAGGAGUUGUCAUGAUUUCACCCACAAGUAUCAAAUCCAAGGUUAAAAAGGACAAGUGUGGAGAAGUAGUUGCCUACAGUGAGGGAGCUGUUCGGCAAAAUGCUGCAAUUGUAGAAUAUUGUCGUAUUUCUAUGUCGGCUCUGUCUGGUAGUACAGCUGGGCUCCUUGGACUGACGGCUUUAUAUGGAUUUGCAUUUUACUUUAUGAUGGCACUUGCUCUGUGGAUGAUGUUGAUUAUGAAAAUGGGUUCUGACUGGAAGAAAUACUUCAGAAAUCGAACUACAUUACUAACAAGUGGACUCUUUGGAGGUCUGUUUACGUACGUGCUGUUCUGGACAUUUUUAUAUGGAAUGGUUCACGUGUACUGAGAGUGUUGUGUGAAAUAUUUCUUCGUUUGCUUUAGUUUUCCCAAAGCAAGAAAACAUCCAUCAUGUUAUGUAAAUGUACAUUUGUUCGACUUUAAUGAAAGCAAUAUUGUAAGAUUGACGUUGUCGUUAUUACUUAAUUUAUUACCAGUUGAAUGUGUUAUGUACUUGUAGUGGUUAUUGCUGAUAAUGAAAGAAGGUAUAAAGUGAAGUACCUGCAGUGAAUUAAAAUUUCACAUAAAUAAAUGUUCAUCUUUUUA